UUAAAGAUUUUCAAAGAUAAAGUUCUCCAGAAUUCUAGCAUCUCUAGGACACAGAUAAACAGCAGCUCAACCUUCCCAUAUCGUAUCUGUUACUUAGACUUUAGAUCAAGUACUCUUCCCACAAGUUCAGGUUUAGAGCAAAUCUUAAUUAAUAACAGUCGUGCCUAAACUUGAGAGAGAUUUCAAUUUUGAGAACUAGUCAUGGC
rnacentral:lncRNA from 1 species